UGGUAAAAUAAGACAUUCUUUAUUUUUAUGAGUUAAUGAGUACCUUGUAUUCAUACAUCAUAUAUACAUAUCCCUGUUCCAUAGCUAGAUUCACCUGAGUCAGCAAACUGAGUUAGCAACUGCCUCAGGACAUCAGGCUUACAGAUUACUAACAAAUUAUUAAUUAUUUACAGGUAAUCCAGAAGUAGGAGGAGAUAGUGAAGGCAGAAGAGCAGAACGAAGAAGGAAAAAAAAAUUUAAAAAGAUGAAGAGUUUCGUUCCAGUUGGAUACAUUUAUGGAAUUGAAUGAUACUGGGAUUUCAAGCUCUACACUUGCCGUUAUGAAAAAGGCUGCACUCCAAGUACAUCAAAAAGCUGACUGGGCCAGCAGAAUCAAUGGUAAUCCAGAAGUAGGAGGAGAUAGUGAAGGCAGAAGAGCAGAACGAAGAAGGAAAAAAAAUUUAAAAAAGAUGAAGAGUUUCGUUCCAGUUGGAUACAUUUAUGGAAUUGAAUGAUACUGGGAUUUCAAGCUCUACACUUGCCGUUAUGAAAAAGGCUGCACUCCAAGUACAUCAAAAAGCUGACUGGGCCAGCAGAAUCAAUGGUAAUCCAGAAGUAGGAGGAGAUAGUGAAGGCAGAAGAGCAGAACGAAGAAGGAAAAAAAAAUUUAAAAAAGAUGAAGAGUUUCGUUCCAGUUGGAUACAUUUAUGGAAUUGAAUGAUACUGGGAUUUCAAGCUCUACACUUGCCGUUAUGAAAAAGGCUGCACUCCAAGUACAUCAAAAAGCUGACUGGGCCAGCAGAAUCAAUGGUAAAAUAUCACAUUUCAUCCUUUAUUUUUCCUAUUAACUUGUAUUUUAGUCUCAUCUUAGUCAUCAAUCGAGCCACAGCACAUAUUCCAAACCCUGAUUUUCAUGUUGUGUAUUUUUACAACUUUUCCAGAGCCACCUAACUUGAGAUUCUUUCUCAUUAACAAGGACGCACACUUCAGGCAGAUUUAGUUCGUUCAGUAGCAAGUCUUGACACGGAGGUUUUAACAAAGUCCAAAAUGCAACAGAACAAUAUAUUUUUGCUUAGACAAGUCACUUAAUGAAUCAAUAGAAUUAAAAGAAUAUCUUGAUUUUUUUUUUACAGCGGUUUUAGGUGUCUUCAACUUUUUUAUAUGCAUAUCAGUUGAAAACUUACAUUCUGUGAGCCAUUUGUGGAUUUUAAAUAUAUCUUAUUAUAGUGCUCUGCCCCACGGAACCAUAUCUUUAUAUACAGGGUGAGUUUUUUAAAGUGAUCCAAUAGCUAACU